UUGGAGGGCAAGUCUGGUGCCAGCAGCCGCGGUAAUUCCAGCUCCAAUAGCGUAUAUUAAAGUUGUUGCAGUUAAAAAGCUCGUAGUUGAAUUUCGGGGUUCUCCGUUGGUCGGGCAAUCUGACUGGCGUGUGGAAUUUCUACCUUCUGGGGAACCGUCAUGUUAUUAAUUUAGCGUGGUGGGAAACCAGGACCUUUACCUUGAAAAAAUUAGAGUGUCCAAAGCAGGCUUACGUCUGAAUACAUUAGCAUGGAAUAAUAAAAUAGGACGGUGGUCCUGUUUUGUUGGUUUCUGAAUCACCGUAAUGAUUAAUAGGGAUAGUUGGGGGCAUUAGUAUUCAAUUGUCAGAGGUGAAAUUCUUGGAUUUAUUGAAGACUAACUUCUGCGAAAGCAUUUGCCAAGGAUGUUUUCAUUAAUCAAGAACGAAAGUUAGGGGAUCGAAGACGAUCAGAUACCGUCGUAGUCUUAACCAUAAACUAUGCCGACUAGGGAUCGGACGAUGUUAAUUUUUCUUGACUCGUUCGGCGCCUUACGGGAAAC
rnacentral:rRNA from 1 species